GAUGAAGAACGCAGUGAAAUGCGAUAAGUAAUGUGAAUUGCAGAAUUCAGUGAAUCAUCGAAUCUUUGAACGCACAUUGCGCCCGCCAGUAUUCUGGCGGGCAUGCCUGUUCGAGCGUCAUUUCAACCCUCAGGACCCUUUGGACCUGGUGUUGGGGCUCGGCCGCUACCCCGCGGCCGUCCCCGAAAGAUAGUGGCGGUCUCGCUGUAGCGUCCUCUGCGUAGUAAUUACACCUCGCACUGGAACGCGGCGCGGCCACGCCGUUAAACACCCCACUUCUCAAGGUUGACCUCGGAUCAGGUAGGAAUACCCGCUGAACUUAAGCAUAUCAAUAAGCGGAGGA
rnacentral:misc_RNA from 1 species